ACUCCCAGGUAAUCACUAUCCUACUAUGUGUCUCUAUGAAUUUGCCUAUUCUAGAUACUUCUUGUGCCUUUUUCCAUAAUUUUUUCUUAUAACCAGCCCUUCUCAUCCAAAGGCCACAAUGAAGUCGAAGAAACCUAUAGAUGACAGCUUUCACAAUCCUUCUCUUGCCUUUUCCUGUACUGACGUAUGUUAGAGAUCUGGCUGGCAGCUUCAAGACACUUGGAAGCAAGAGGGCCACUCUAUUAAGGAUCGCUGAAGUAUGCCCACAUGUCAGGUUUCUCUCAGAUGUGGUAUCAAAACAUCAUUAUGGGCCGGGCACGGUGGCUUACGCCUGUAAUCCCAGCACUUUGGGAGGCUGAGGCAGGCAUAUGAAGAGGUCAAGAGAUCGAGAUCAUCCCGGCCAACAUGAAAUAACAAGAAAGUUAGAAAGUCUUCUGCCUCCCAUCAGAAAAUGAGCUCAAGUGUUGUAUCCAUUGAAAAUGACAUCUGAUGCUAAUCAUCUCUGAGUGAACCCUACAUCUUACAGUAAAUUGCAUAUUGCAAUAAAAAGUGAUCUCUCAUGGUUCUUGAAUUAUUUUUCAUCAUGUUUAGUGCAAUACUGUAAAUCUUGAACAUCACCAUGGGACCCAUAUGAAAUGUCACUAGUGAUGCUGGAAGUGCUCCCAAGAAGCAGAGAAAAAUCAUUACAAAAAAAAGCUGACUUGCUUGAUAUGUACCGUAGAUUGAGGUCUGCAGCUGUGGUUGCCCACCAUUUCAAGAUAGAUGAAUCCAGUGUAAGGACCAUUGUGGUUGGGGGAGGACUUUGUGGAGCCAUCACUGCAGCUACGACAGCAGGCAUGAAAACCUUGAAGUUUCUGUAAAAUAUCUUUUUAUCUUAUAUUUAAAAUACAAUGUGAGUACAGAAUUGCUAUAAGAAAGGCAUACUCUAGUAAGACUUGAAGUCAUUAUAUGACAACUUAAAGCAA
rnacentral:lncRNA from 1 species